UACGGAGGGUGCGAGCGUUGUCCGGAAUCACUGGGCGUAAAGGGCGCGUAGGCGGCCUGGUAAGUAGGAGGUGAAAUCCUGCGGCUUAACCGCAGGGCUGCCUUCUAAACUGUCAGGCUCGAGCACAGUAGAGGCAGGUGGAAUUCCCGGUGUAGCGGUGGAAUGCGUAGAGAUCGGGAAGAACAUCAGUGGCGAAGGCGGCCUGCUGGGCUGUUGCUGACGCUGAGGCGCGACAGCGUGGGGAGCAAACAGG
rnacentral:rRNA from 1 species